rnacentral:lncRNA from 1 species
AGGACAAAGAGCUAGAGUAACUUUUUCAUCACGGAGUUGGUGCUUACUAAACAUUUGCCCUGUGAUUCAUCUUUGCGCCUAUGCACUUCUAGCAAGAUUUAGUGGAGAAGGAGAAAAAAACUCUUCAUGUCUCUUAAGGAAUGGAAGUUCUGUCUUACAAGUUAGUUCCGGAAAUGAAUUCUUUCUCAUUUGCCCUCUAAUUUUAGACUCCAUGAGGAGCAGCUGUUUUGAAAAGAAUCCUAGAGUAGUGCUGCCAUUCACUCCCGUCGCUCCUUCUGUGGGACUUGUUACUGGCGAGGGUUGGGGGACGUAUGAUUCUGAUGCAAAUGCAUCUUCUUCCAGCUGGACCACAUGUUAUAAGGAGGACAGUUCAACCAAGGAAGAAAUUACUCCAGGAAGCCAAACUGCCUACGGGGAUGUGUGUGUGUGUGUGUGUGUAAGGAGUUGGGUGUGGUCAGGGGCAUCUCUACAUGGUAAAUGGCUGAGCAGUCAUCCCAUAGAACAGACCUCAGGGAUCAACCUGGGCCCUCAAAAUGAGAAAGUCACCAGCUUUGACAUGGAUGGACUGUGAAGAUUGCUUGGUUAUUGGGUUACAUUGAUGUGUUCUUGUUCUAUAAGGCAAAAAAAGGAUUAGAUUAAAGGAACAGUAAGGGUGGGAAUUUGGGUGUUGAUUCUCAUGAUGUGGCCAUUUGCUCAGUCUGUCUAAGUGGAGUAGCUGAUUUUGAGGUCAUCAAGUACUACUGUGUCUUUUCGAGGUUGUGUGACCCAUGCUAGGUCUAGAGGGAAUUCCUUUGCUUUAUUUGGAGUUUAGGGGAAAUUGUUCCUCUAGCUUCUGUUUGCGCUCCCUCCCAAGGUGUUUUCAAGCUUAAAAUGCUUGCCCUUUGGCUUGUAAGUGGUUGAUUUACAUCUGCUUCUCCCGUUUCAGCCUGGAGGUUGGGUAUUAGAGGCUAAAGAGGCUUUUCAGGGUGGCUGGUGUUUUUGUUGAUGAGGUUGUUGUUGUUUUGCCUUAGUUUAAAAUUUCCAAAUCCAGGAAAUGACUGUGGGCUGGGCAUGUCUGGUUAAGAGGCCCAGAAUGACAGGGGCCCCCUAUGUGCCAGGCUACCAGGGGGCCCAGGGCCACAUAGCGUCUGCUCACUCAGCAUUGGUUUUGUUUAUUUUUUACCAAGGUAAACUCACAUAAGGUUACAGUGCAGUGGCAUCUAGUCCAUUCAUGAUGUUGUGCUGCCAACACUUCCAUCAAGUUUCAAAAUAUUUCCAUCAUCCGUCAGAACGUGAUUCUGUACCCACUACCAGCCACUCCCCGUUCACCUGCCCCCCCACCGCACCCCUGGUGACCGCUGAUCUGCUCUCUGUCCACCUCUUCUGAAUCUUUCACAUAAAUGGAAUUAUACAAUUCAUGGCUUUUUGUAUCUGGCUUCUCCCUCCUAGCAUAUUUUCAACAUUCCUCCACGUCAUAGCAUGUAUCAACUUCAUUCCUUUUUAAAGCUGCAUAGUAUUCAUUGCACGGAUGUACCAUAUUUUGUUGAUCUCUUCGUUUGCUGAUGGACAUUUGGGUUGUUUCUGUGUUAUGGUUGUGAAUAGUGCUGCUGUGAACACUCAUAUACAAGUAUUUGUUCAAAUGCCUGUGUUCAGUUCUUAUAGGGUAUGUACUUAGGUGUGGAAUUGCUCAGUUUCGUGGUAAUUCUAUGUUUAACUUUUUGAGGCAUAGCAUUGGUUUUGAUGGUCUGCUCUUAGGACCAUUAGAGGGGUUUUAUUAGAAUCAUGAAAUCAGAGCCUUAGAGAGAGCCUUAAAGAUCAUUUAAUCCAGAGUUCCCACUGUGGCAUGGUGGGUUAAGAAUCCUACUGCUGUGGCUUGGGUUGGGCCCACAGCCACAGCAUAGAUCACAGCUGCAGCUCAGAUUCAAUCCUUGGCCCGAGAACUUCUAUAUGCCUCGAGUGUGGCCAUUAAAAAAGAAGAAGAGGGAAUUCCCGUCCUGGCUCAGCGGAAAUAAAUCUAACUAGUAUCCAUAAGGAUGCAGGUUCGAUCCCUGGCCUCCAUCAGUGGGUUAAGAAUCCAGCAUUGUCAUGAGCUGUGGUGUAGGUCACGGACGUGGCUUGGAACCCAUGUUGCUGUGGCUGUGGUGUAGGCCGGCAGCUCUAGCUUGGAUUUGACCCUUAGCCUGGGAACCUCCAUUGGCCAUGGGUAUGGCCCUAAAAAAAAAAAAAACAAAAGCUGUUCCAGGAGGUCUGUCUAUACCAAACCUUACAGAAGCCCCUCCAUCCCCUACAUGCACAGUUCCAUGGCAGAGGGGCCUACAUUCCUGUUGGCUUGUCUGAGUUCUGCUGUGUAGAAAAGUCUUUCACCUGGAAUCCAUAGACCUUUGAGGUUUAUCCACAGAUGAGCUUCAGUGUGGAGGGCUGAGGGGAGAGUUUGUAACUGUCACUCUUCCUUAGGGGGACUCUGAAUCACUGCUCUGGAGUGACCCAGCAAUGCCAUCUCUCUCCUGCUCAUGAGCCUUCGAAGAUUUACUGGCAGACUGGUGCUUAACUGACAGCUGCCCUCUGCUCCCCUCUGCCACCCACAUGCCAAGACCAACAAAGCAUCUUCCUAAAGCCCCCCUGUGAGAGGACAAAGGCCAGGCUGUGGAAGGCUGUGCAGAAGGAGGUAGGACGCUGAAGAGCGUGGCAAGCCCCUUGCAUGGGCCCCACUGCUGGUGACCUUGGCCACCUGCGGUUUACUGCAGAUGUUGAAAGAAUUCGCUAUCAAAGAGAUUGUUUCACUUGGAGACAAGGCCGUUUUCUGAAAAAGUUGAGAAAGUCCUUGAAAGUUGCACAGUUUCUGAUGUUGAUAGAGCAGGGAAAAUGUCAUCAUCAGCUCUUUUUAAAAAUAAGCUUUUUGAGAUCCUGCUGUGUGGCGCUGGGAACUAUGUCUAGUCACUUAUGACGGAGCAUGAUAAUGCGAGAAAAUAGAAUGUGUACAUGUAUGUGUAACUGGGUCACCAUACUGUACGGUAGAAAAAAAAAUGUAUUGGGGAAAUAACAAUUUUUUUAAAAAGAAAAACAAUAAGCUUUUUAUUGAAUAGAAUGUAUGUACUGAAAAGUACACAUUUCAUACAACGUCGUUUCUAUGACAUAUAAUAACAGGCAAAGCAUAUCUGUGGGGUGAGGUAGUCAUGAUAGUGGUUACCUUCAGGCUGGGGGUGCCUGGAAGGGAGCACAAAGGGUACCCCCAGGGGUGAUUAUGUUCUAGUUCUUGAUAGAGAACAACUCUUUGUGAGUUAACAGAAUCUCAGAUAGCACUUAGCAGGCACCAAAUUGAGAAGAGGCAAAGCCUGGGGCCAAGAUGAUUCAAGCAGCUAAGCCUUCUGUUUGGGGCUGGCCUUGGUUUCCUGGCAUCCCCCCACCCCCCUUGCUUUGGAGGGUGCCUGUCUCACUCAUGUGCCACAGGUGGUCAGCCUCCCCUCUGGCUCCACGAGCUGGCCCGGAACUCAAGAGGCUGGAAAAGCGAUGGGCACAUGAUCCAGGUCAGACAAUGAGAGUCCAUCCUAGGACUUUUUUGCUAGAACCACUGGGAAAGAGGCACAAGCUCUCAGCUGGGGUGUCUAAGCUGGUAGCACGUAAGCUCUGGCUUGGGCUGGCCGUCUUUGCUACCAUGUGGAGUGUGCCAGCCAGAGAUGAAGCCAACACAGAAGACAGGAAAGUCAAGACUCCUGGUGAGUGUGUAUAGGGAUCCAACCAUGUUGAGAACUGUCUCCAUUUCCCAUGGACUUUUCAUUUGUUAUGUGUUGAUAAAUUCCCUUUUCUUCCUCUCUUCUCCUGGUUGAGUUUCUAUCCCUUGCCUCCAAGGGUUUGAGAAACAGAUUUGUUCCUUGAUCAGUCAGAACUAUUUGAUAUACUUGUCCAAAUCUGAUUUCUUUUACUGUGGCACUCAGGGUUUCUGCGAGCCCCCAGAAGGGCAGAGACAGCUUCAAACUGUGAGAGUUGGGGGUGGAGAGAUGGGGGGGCUUUAGAGAUUUCUGUCGGAUUGGAGGGAUGAGCUGAAGGGGACUUGUUCUGAAUUUGCGUUGGCACAGCUCCAUGCUGUUUUGCCCAGUGUGUUUACUUGGGAUGGCAUGGGGGUGCUUAGUGCUGCCACUGGGUCGUUGCUUCCUCUUGUUCUCUUGGGACUUGGCUCUUGAGGACCUUAUCUAUGUAUAAGACAUAAUUAGAAGAGGAGUUCCCUGGUGGCCCAGUGGUUAAGGAUCCAGCAUUGUUACUGCUGUGGCUCGGAUCACUGCUGUGAUGCAGGUUCAGUCCCUGGCCCGGGAACUUCCCCAUGCCAUGAGCAUGUUCCCAAAAAAGACAGAGGUAGAGAAAGUGAGCACACAUGGGCUGAUGGGAGCUGACCAGCCUGCUGGAGAUAACCAAGAAGGGCCCAACGGUGACCUCCCACUUCCCAUUUCAUAGACACUCUGUGUUUUAAAGUAUCCCAAAUUAUAAAGUACACAAAGGAAUUCUAAGGUGGCAGUUUUAAGAAUAAGAUCACUGAGGUGGUUCUACCUGACAGGGCAGAGGAAGGCACUAAAUCAAAAUCACCUAAAAUAGAAGUGAUUCUAACAGUAUCUUGUGUUUUGCUUUAUAGAUUUUUCAGCUAUUCACUGGAUGGAAAAUAUUCUUCAAUAAACCAUUUAAUGAUAUAUGAUAACUUUGUAAGCAUAGUUGACCUUUGAACAACAGGGGGUUGAACUGUGCGGGUCCGCUUAUAGUGGAUUUUUUUUCCAAUGAGUAUAUUGGAAAAUCUGGGGGAGGUUUGCAACAACUUGAAAAAACAAAAAACAAAACAACAGAGAAAUUCUGUAGCCUAGAAAUAGCAAAAUAAAAUAAAAUGAGACAUGUCAUGAAUGCAUAAAACAUAUGUGGAUGAUAAUCUGCCCUUAUAUAGGCAUAAGAUGUGUGAUCUGUAAUAUAAAAUUAAUAAUAUAUUAGUUUUCCUACUGUUUCAUGUUUUCUUUCAAAGAAAUUACAUUUACAGUAUCUCUCUCUCUCUCUCCUAAUUGGAGAAAUUGUGUAUCAGCCUAUUAUCACAGGUAAGCAGUUUUUUAAAAAAUGUAACAAUGCUUCCCAAUACUAUAGUAUAAAUAUGACUGUAUACUGUAUGCCAUAAAAUGUUUAUGACCAUUCAUUAGUGUACAGGCUAGGCUACCAUGAAGCGAUCGUAUCAGUUACGCUAGGCUACCACAAAGCCCUCACACGGCUGCUUCCUUGUUAUCAAUGUAUGCAUCGUUAUACCUGUAAAUAAAUAGGAAUUUAUUUUGCACAUUAUCCUUUCAUUUUUGAUGUCUGGUGUUAGUAAUAUGUAUAGCAUCUACAGUGUUUUGUAUCAAAUAAGACAAUAUUGAUGUAGAUACUGGUAGACGAUUCAUCUUAUAAACAGAUGCAUAAACUUAUGACAUUGACAAAUAGAGUACAGACCUAUAAACAUAUUUUCUCUUCCUUAGAAUUUUCCUAACAUUUUCUUUUCUCUAGCUUACUUUAUUCUAAGAAGACAGUAUUUAAUACUUAUAAAAUACAAAAUAUGUGUUAAUUGACUAUUCAUGUUAUCAGUAAGAAUUCCAGUCAACAGUUUUUGAUGAGUCAAAAGUCAUAGGCAUGGGAGUUCCCAUCGUGGCUCAGUGGUUAACGAAUCCGACCAGGAACGAUGAAGUUGCUGGUUCGAUCCCUGCCCUUGCUCUGUGGGUUAAGGAUCCGGCGUUUCCAUGAGCUGUGGUGUUGGUCACAGAUGCGGCUCAGAUCCCGCGUUGCUGUGGCUCUGGCGUAGGCCAGCAGCUACAGCUCCGAUUAGACCCCCUAGCCUGAGAACCUCCAUAUGCCGUGGGAGUGGCCUAAGAAAUGGCAAAAA